CUGUGUCUCUCUGCAGCACUCUGUGGUAAUCCUUUGUAAGGAUCUCUGUCAGUCUUCAGAUGAAUUCAGCCCGGCUCCUGGACAAUCGCAGCACACACGCCGUCCAAAUAACACUGCAAACAGGAGCCCUUAUGAUGGAAUCUUCAUAUUUAUCUUCCUGUCCAUCAUCAUCUUCAUUUUUGUCACCUAGUUUUAUUGGGUCGUUUCUGUGUGUUUCUUGGUGACGACUUUGGAUUCUGCGUCGUGGAGAUCAAACCCAGAGAUCACAACAGACCAUAACAGAAAUAUAUCCGUCUGUUUAUAUAGAUACAACUAACAAAUCUGUCCCUCAUGAAUUAUAAAUCUGAUUAUAAA